rnacentral:lncRNA from 1 species
CUUUGUCCUGAGGUUUGUUUGCUGUUUAUUUAAUUAUGAAUUCUCUCCCUUCUCAUUCCAUAAAGACUCUGGGUCAACUCAUUCUGGAGGAUGUGCCUCAUACAAGUCAUUUCUUUUUCUUUGUUUUCCUACACAGAAAGUGGGAAUCGUAAGAGUGAGAAGAAAAUGUUUAAAAUGUUUGGAGAACUUUUGCGCUUUAUAACUGUACUCCCUUGCCCCUUUUCCCUGCUUGUUGAGUAUUUGUGGCUUAUUGCUGUUGUCUCUGUGAUUGAUUCAGAGUCCACUCUGAUGACUCCUGUUCUGCUCUCUACCUUAUGCUGUGCUGGGCAUGCCUAUGAGCGGAAGACCCCAAUUCAUGGUCUCGAAAGCUGUGUUGGAGGACAAUGAAUGGGGAGAAUGCAGUCUUGGAAAUUUGGAAAUAGGCACUAAUACAGACUUGAUGACUGCUUGAUGAGCUGUACUGAGAGGGCCCAAAGCCAUGACAGGCCCAGCCCACAUCACUGCUUGGCAGGAGCCGCUCCUAACUGCCAUGCCAUGAGCCACCCUGUAGAGAGGUCUAUAUGACAAAGCACUGAGGGAGACCCCCAGCCAACAGCCAGGGAGAAAGUGGAACCCUCAGUCCAACCGACUCCAUUGGAUGCAAUCCUGUUGGCAACCACGUGCAUGGACUUGGAAGAAGAUCCUGCCCCAGUCACACCUUCAGAUGGGACUGUAGCCUCAGACAGUAGUUGGACUGCAACCUCAUGAGAUACUUUGAGCCACAAGCUCCUGGCUGAGUCGUGCUUGGCUUCAUAACCCACAGAAGUUGUGGCUAAUACAUGUUUACUGGUUCAAGCUGCUAAGUUUUGGGAUAAUUUAUCAUACAGCAAUAGAUAACAAAUAUAGGUAGGUACAGGUAUUAUUUGCAUUUUACAGAAGAGGAAACUGAGGUUUAGAGAGGAUGGAAAUGAUGGAGCCAGGAUGUGGACCUUCAAAUAUGACUCCAAGGACUGCACAAUUGAUAACAAGAAUCAGUUUUGGAUAAUGUUAAGCAUAUUACUGUUGUUCAGUCCAGGUUGGUACUGUGCAGAAACUACGUGCUUCCAGACUCUAGAAAAGCUAAUAUGAGCAGAAAAAAGGAUGGUUUCCUCCCAAGCCAGGUAAAGAUUUUAAAAGAUACACAAGAAAAAAAUUAUAGAUCAUACAGGCAACGACAGAGCAUUAACAUUCCAUUUCUAACAAAGAUGAUCUUAGUAUUAGUCAGAGUUCUCCAGAGAGACAAGACCAAUAGGAGAUAGAUGGAUGG